GCCGAACGCUGGCGGCGUGCCUAAUACAUGCAAGUCGUACGCUUCUUUUUCCACCGGAGCUUGCUCCACCGGAAAAAGAGGAGUGGCGAACGGGUGAGUAACACGUGGGUACCCUGCCCAUCAGAAGGGGAUCACACUGGGCACACGGUGCUAAUCCCGUAUAACAACCGAAACCGCAUGGUUCUGAUUUGACAGGCGAUUUCGGUUGUCGCUGCUGGACGGACCCGCGGUGCAUUAGCGAGUUGGUGAGGUAACGGCUCACCAAGGCCACGAUGAAUAGCGGACCUGAGAGGGUGAUCGGCCACAUUGGGACUGAGACACGGCCCAAACUCCUACGGGAGGCACCAGUAGGGAAUCUUCGGCAAUGGACGAAAGUCUGACCGAGCAACGCCGCGUGAGUGAAGAAGGUUUUCGGAUCGUAAAACUCUGUUGUUAGAGAAGAACAAGGAUGAGAGUAACUGUUCAUCCCUUGACGGUAUCUAACCAGAAAGCCACGGCUAACUACGUGCCAGCCGCCGCGGUAA
rnacentral:rRNA from 1 species